GCGUUGUUCGGAUUCACUGGGCGUAAAGGGUGCGUAGGCGGUCGGGUAAGUCUGAUGUGAAAUCUCACAGCUUAACUGUGAAACUGCAUUGGAUACUAUUCGGCUUGAGAGUUGGAGGGGGGACUGGAAUUCUUGGUGUAGCAGUGAAAUGCGUAGAUAUCAAGAGGAACACCAGUGGCGAAGGCGAGUCCCUGGACAACUUCUGACGCUGAGGCACGAAAGCUAGGGGAGCAAACAGG
rnacentral:rRNA from 1 species